UCCCAAGAAGUGAACAAAAGGACGAUUCUACACAGGCAUUGUGACAUAAGGAGAUAAAUGCCACUCCAGUCAACAAAGAAGAACUGAAUCUGAUCCCUAAGCAUUUUCAGCAGGUAUCUGACCCAUAACACAAAAGUUGCUAGCGUGCUUGGGCCUCCACUUAGUUCUUCCCCUCACUAUCUCAGCACUAUCCUCUAGUCGAAGCAAAUGCUGGCACUCAAUCUCACCAGCAUUUGCUAAAUUUCCUAUCCCACUGCCAGAGACAGCAGUCAGAGACUGCAACACACUGUCCCUUCCACACUCCCUCCUAUACUCCAGAGUGAUGGCAGACAGUUCAUGACUCUCCAGGAUCGGCAGCGGAGCACUCUCAAGGAUCCAGCCAAU
rnacentral:misc_RNA from 1 species